GCUAGUUAUAAACAGGCCCUACUGCACUGAGCAAUCAGAUGGUUUUAAAUCUCUAUACACCAUUCUUUGGAUUUGCAAAUAGUCAAAAAUAAAAGAUUUUUGUUCACUCUUAAAUUCCACCAGUAAUCACUUUUCAGGACAGUAAAGAAUUUGUAGUGAAUACCAAUUUCCUUCACAUAGAAUAAAAGAAAUUGAAUAUUUUGUAAAUUUUUAAUUCUGAAGGACAGAUGGCUCUGUUUGCUAAAUAGUAACUUACAGUAAUAAGUAUGGAAGUCAAGAACUUGAAAUAUUUCAAAAAACUACUUUUGGGUUACCCAUUUAAAAUGGGCUGAUAUGUAUCUUAUGAAGACUUCAAGACCUUAUGGAUGAAAAUAGAUAAAAGUAGUUUUUUUAAUGAAGGAAGAAAAAAAAAAAAAGACAAGACUAUGAAUACCAGUCUUUUAUUGGUUGUUAUACUGAAGGCAAAACCAGUCUUCCCCAGUAUUUGAUAUUUUAUAAGAUGGAGAAUUACAUAAAAACAUAACCAAGGAAAUAUCUUGAAAAGCCCACCUCUCAGCAAAAGUAGACAAAAUCACUCUAGGUGUGCCCAAAAUAAAGGAAAAAGGGGAAAAAACCCAAAUCUGUGUGAUAUUGACACACAAAAGACUAAAACAGGUCACUUAGAUUUGCUCAGUAGCCUUCUAUUACUUGUCAUAGGCUUUCUAUUGCCAGAGCAAGGGACAAAUUAUUUAAAUAACUAGCUCACUUUUUGUCCUGGAGAGAAUGAAUUCAGUCUAAGAAAUAAGUAUUCUGCUUUCUUACAGUAUCCAAUCAGUAAAAUUGAAAAGUUUUCAUUUCAGGUAAUUAAAAGGACUCAAUUCUUCCUUAAGUGGUUUCAUGGGCAUGUAUUUGACAAGAGGUAUUUACUCUUGACUUAUACAAAAGAAGUCAAUAGACUUUCAAAUUCUCCUGCAUUUCAUCACCUAAAUUGAAGUCAUUUGAGACCCAUAUAUUCUUAUUAAUCUAGACCUGACAGUCCAAAGAUUAUAAAAGAAAUCUUCCCAACAUGAGCUUAUGAAUAAAUACAAAGAUUUUCUAACACCGUUCAUCUAAAUUGCUUCUAAAACUUAAGAAUGAACUCUAUUUAGAAGUUAAUAUUGUUAACUUUUCAUUUGGCAACAAAUCUUACAGCGGCUGCAUAACUGCCUCAAAUGUUUGUGAAGGCAAAAAGCUCAUUUUGACACAAAUACUAUAUAUGAUGGCCUUUGCCAUGAAAAUAAAAAACCCAUAAUUUUAACUGUAAUUUAGCCAAACCUGUUUUCCAAAUCUAGAUAAUUAUCUGUUAAUUACAAAUGAUAAUAAUGGACUCAAUAAAGUCACAGAGACGAAAUUCUCUCUUGGAAAAAUAAUAGGGCAAGUUUAUCUAAAAACAGUCAGGAUUUGAAGAACUGACUAAACGAAGGAAUAGAGAUUCUAAGUAGAAAUCAUUCAGCUGAAGGAUAGGGAUAAGAAACUAUUCUACACUUAGAAAGAUAAAGUCCUGGAUGUGGUUGGCUACACCAGAUCUGUGUACUACUGGAUAGUGCUUACACACUUGCUUGUUUCCCUUUCACAAACUUUUAACUACAACUAAAAAUGUAAACCAGCACCUUCAAUAUGAAUGAUUAAAUGAAGGUAUCCAUUUCACACACAAAUACCUCAUGUGCAUCACCCUAAAUGAGAAACGGGACCUUGAUAAGGACAAUCCCC
ensembl:lncRNA